GCUGGGCAUGGUGGCACAUGCCUGUAGUCUCAGCUACUUGGGAGGCUGAGGCUGGAGGAUCUCUUCGGUGCAGGAGUUCUGGGCUGCAGUGCGCUAUGCCGAUCGGAUGUCUGCAAAGUUCAGCAUCAAUAUGGUGACCUCCCGGGAGCGGGGGAUCACCAGGUUGCCUAAGGAGGGACGAACCAGUCCAAUUCAGAAACAGCAGGUCAGAACUCCUGUGCUUAUCAGUAGUGGCAUCCCGCCUGAGAAUAGCCACUGCACUCCAGCCUGGGCAACAUAGAGAGAUCCUGUCUCUU
ensembl:misc_RNA Metazoa_SRP Metazoan signal recognition particle RNA